rnacentral:rRNA from 1 species
UAGCCGUCGAAGGUGGGACAAAUGAUUGGGGUGAAGUCGUAACAAGGUAGCCGUAUCGGAAGGUGCGGCUGGAUCACCUCCUUU